rnacentral:lncRNA from 1 species
UUCUCUCUUCUUCUCUCUCAUGCGCUCUCUUCUCUCUUUUAUCUCUGAUUCCGGCAGCCAUCGCCGGCCACCGCCUCCGGAAAACCCCAAAUCAACUCACCCAAAAACCUCUUUCACGCAAAACCUUCUUCUUCCUCUCAGAUGAGCCGAAAAUUAUCAACCCUAACCCCCCAAAUUUCAAUUCCUCAAAUUUUGAUCAUCUUUGAA